GGCAACGAAGGACGAGCAUUACCAUAAAGCUUAGGGUAGAAGCGCAAGAAAAUUUACGCGACGGCUGAUCUGCGGCUGGCUUGACCGCGGCUCACAAUUGACGGCUCACUUGACCGCAGUUGUUCCUCAGUUCUGGUCCUCCGGAGAGGACCCGGCCCGCCCACGGACAGAGGCUCUCGCACAGAAAGCAGGGAGUGGACGGCAGCGCUUCUCUACGGUUGCCUGUCUGUCCUUGACGCCAGCAGACACAGGGAGGGAGAGACAUGCGUUUCCAUGGCGACAAGUGGCUGUAGCCCCUUCCCCAUGUGCUGGGAGAGAGAAUAUGACAGACACCUAGCAGCGACAGUGUCUGCAGGGAAAACCAUGGCAACAGCCUACCUGGACCCCAACCUGAAUCAUACCCUCCUAGGAGGGGCCAAGUCGCGGCUGAGUGCAGGGGGAUCAGACCGAACCAUGGCCGGCUCCGUGGACAGGGUUCUGAAAGUCUUCCAUCACUUUGAGACCAACUGUGAAAACAGCUGCUGGUCUUCCAAUAUCAGAUAUGGAGAUGCAACUGAUGUCA